CUCAUCUGAAGUAAGAACCUUUUUAAAAGUAUAAAAAUAAAUGUGAAAAAACGAAAUUUGGUCAAACUGUUUUAAAGAUUGAGCGGCUCACCAUUUGAUUAUUUAAUAUACAAAAAUGGAGUCGUCAUCUACAGUUCAAAAAUAUUUUCUAGUAAAAUCUAAUAUUAAAAGGCAUUAUUUGAUUGCGAAUCUAAAACGGAAAGUUUACAUGAAGUCGUUGGAACAAAGAUUUAAGGAAUGACGAAAGAUUUUGAAGCACUUAUCUACGAUACUUUUGAUUCUGAUUUGAAAGAGCAUGCGAAAAGAGGGCGAAGAGCAAUGGAUAUAACAGAUUUGGCAAAAAAUCCUUCUUAUAUUGAGCAUUAUUUGUAAUCCAAAUGACAUCGAUGAAGAUUGCGAAAACAAUGAAAAUUACGAAAUAUGUGAAUACACUUAAAAUUUACCUACCAAUACCUUUUAUUAAUUUUCUAACAAAAAAUAAUAGCUUCUUUUUUGCCUAGCAUCUGCGAAGAAAUCAAUUGUUUGCAUAUUUUAGUACAUUACGAAAUGUAUUUGCACGACUACAAUACGAAAA